GGAGAGGUGGCCGAGUGGACGAAGGCGGUCGCCUGCUAAGCGACUGAGGUGUUAUAAAGCACCUCCGUGGGUUCAAAUCCCACCCUCUCCG
rnacentral:tRNA from 2 species